UGAAACCUUGUUAUCACUAUGGGGCCUUUGAUAAGACCCAGUGACCAAUUUUUGGCACCCUUGCGAGAGCAAGGGCA
rnacentral:snRNA from 1 species